rnacentral:lncRNA from 1 species
CCCGAGUACCGCCCAUGCGCCCGCACACGCGCGCGCCCGACCCAGGCGGACAAAGAGCCCGGCCGACUGCGGGGCGCGCUCCCUCGUGCGGACGACCACGCGGGAUCUGCACGGCAUAGCUUCCCGACGCGGUACCCGGACGCUGCCAUUCCCCACCGGGCCCUGGGGAGCCCAGAGCCGCCCCUGCGCCCUGGGCUGCUUCCGCUGGAUCCCCCCACUCGAGGUGAGCAUACAAGACAGCCCCAGAGCCAGACCUGCCAGGGACAAGGAUAGAGCAUGGUCCAUCGGCAAGUGCUGCAGAUGCUCUCCAGGGCCACCCCAGGCCACCUCGGCCCCUUCCUCUGGAGCAGGACGGCCAGAGAACAGCACACAUCUGUCACCAGCGCCUGAUAGGAACAGAGGCACCAAUGGACCCGGGCUGCUGAGAGGAGAAGGGUGACUCACAGUGGGCCAGAAGAAGAUAAAGGGGUGUUGUGUUUUGAGACGGUCUUGCUAUGUAGCUCAGGCUAGCCUCAAAUUUGUAGCAGUCCUUCUGCUUCAGCCUCUUGAGGGCUGGGAUUACCGAUGUGUGCCACCAUGCCCAGCAAGGCUCUAUCCUGGGCCUGCAGGGCUGUAUGGGGAGGGACCUGUGCUGCCUGAACAUUGCCAUGCACCUGGACAUCAGGAUGUCCAGUCCAACAAGACUUCCGGGAUGACCCAAGGACCGUCUGCCAGGACUAAAGGCAGAAGAGGGCGUGGCGGAAAUUGCCAGGUCUCUGGGAUCCAAAGAUUCUUUAGCCAGGUGUGGCCACACCUGCAAUCCCUGUACUCUGGGAGACUGAGGCAGGGAGAUCACAAAUUGAAGGGGCCGGGGAUUUAGCUCAGUGGUUUCGCUGCUUGCUGCGAAAACGCAAGGACCCAAGUUCAAUCCCCAGUACCAAAAAAACCCCAAAACCAAAUUGGAGUCCAGCUGGACAAUUUAGUGAUUUAGUGAGACCCAACCCCAAAAUAAGGAAAAAAGGGCAAGGGAUGUAGCUCAGGGCAAAGAGGCCUUGAGUUCAACCUGCAGUACUACAGAGAAAAGAAAAUGUUAGGUGAAGAAAAAGAAUUGUGUACUGAAUUCACAUGGACUUCUCUUUAUCCCCUCAACAACUCAGGGUAGUGCUGAGGUGUUGGGAGCCAUGGAUCUGGGGUCUGGUAGUCCUGGUGCCCAGCCCGGCGGUCCAGCUCAAGGGCACAUGCGCCACCUCUGCAUCUGUUCCCACCUGACUCAGAGCAGAAUGUGCUGGGGCCCCCUGAGGUCCGCUGCAAUCCAGAGGCUGGCAGUGCCCAGCCAGCAACCCUUCAGCCUGCUCCUCACAGGGCACCUGUUCCCACAUGCAUGAUUUCUCUCUUCCCCAGGAGGCCCAAGCAGACUCACAGUGGCUCCUGCCCUGACAGCCGCCUCCUCACCCUGCCUCAGUUUCCUGUCUGUCCCAAAAGCAGGUUAGUCAAGGUGACCCAGCUCAGCCUCUAACUGAAGAUCUUGCCCAGGGCCAUGUCAGUGUGCAGACUCCACCCUGCAAGUCUGGGGGCCCGGGCUCUGGGUCCUCAUCCAGCCCCUGUCUGCCACAGGGACCCACUCCGGGGACCCCUUGCUCUGGGGAAAAUCUAAAACCCCAGGGCACAGCUGGGAUGCGGCCCAGUAGGGAGCAUUUGCCUGGCAUGCCUGAGGCCCUGGGUUCUGUCCUCAGCACCAGGAAAGCGGAAUCCUGAUGCCCCUGUCUCCCCUCACAGAUUCUAAUUUAAUUGGGCACAAAGCCCCCCCUUAAACUAGGCUCUCCACAUGAGGCCUGGUGGCACAUGCCUGUUAUCCCAGUCUCCAAGGAGACGAAGGCAGGAGGAUCACCUUGAGUUCAAGGCCACCCUGGACUUCGUGGUAAGACCAUGUCUCAAAACCUAAACAAGAAAUAAAUAAAAAAUAAGGCUAUCCUGGUAGUGGAUGUCACCCUGACGCCUGGCUGGGGUGCCGGGUGCCCAAGUAAUCAAAGCUGCCUAUUGGUCCCCAGGUGGCCAGCUUCCCCUGCAUUCUUGCCUGAGCUUCUCCUUCUUAUAUUUGGUUAUUUUUCUCUCCUUCCCAAACACAACAAUUCAAACUAUUCCCAGCCUGCAGACAAUAAACAAAGCUGGGAGGCAGCCGGGAGGGGUCAGGUUUGCUCCCACUUAUGGCCUGAUCAGAGGCCACCCGGAUUGGGUCCUGACGGGUAGUCUGAGCCUGGCGGGUGGCCUGGCUUCAGUCCCAGGGUCCCCAAGUCCCUCGGUUUAGAUGACCAGGUACCCCUCAGGCCACGUCCCCGGGAGUCAGGGCUCAGGGGGGUGAGUGACCUGCGCCCGGACGCACAGUGCAGCUGAGAUGGCCCCUCCCUCCCACUCCUCUCGGUUUCCAGCUGUGGUCCAGGAACAUCAGCCACACGGGACAUGGCAGCCUGGGGGCCACCGAGGGGCCGACACCGAGGGGACGUGGAACAGCCUGGGAGGUCGCCAGCCCCUGCUAUGGCCUGGUUGCCGUCCAGGGCCCAGGGUAGCACCAGGAGGAGGUGACUGGCAGUUAGGAG